rnacentral:rRNA from 1 species
CGCGGUUACACGAAAGGCCCAAGACAACGAACACACGGCGUAAAUUGUGACUAGAAACACUUAACAGGAAAAAAAUUAAACUCACAGACUAGUUGUAAAACACUCAGACUAUGAAGGAAACCCACAGUAAUUUUUUCUGCCUUAUGUCUUUGACCACACGAAAGCCUAGAAACAAACUAGGAUUAGAUACCCUACUAUGCUAGGCCUUUAACAUUGAUAGUAAAAAUACUCUACUAUCCGCCAGAGAACUACAAGUGAAAAACUUUAAACUCAAAGGAUUUGGCGGUGUCCCAUACCUGCCUAGAGGAGCCUGUCCUAUAAUCGAUACUCCCCGUUCCACCCAACCUCAACUAGCACCUCCAGUCUAUAUACCGCCGUCGACAGUCUACCCCAUGAGGGCCCAAUAGUAGACACAACAAUUUCCCACUAACACGUCAGGGCAAGUCGU